rnacentral:misc_RNA from 1 species
UGUCGAGGAAAUGGUUGCAGAAACUUCACCUGUUCACUACGAACACGCUGGCAGAAUACAACAUGACAGGUGAUUGCAUUUCUCACCUGUCAGAGGUAUUACAGCUACACCUGGAUGGUAUACGCAUCAGACUCGGAGGGACACACGUAACAUAGGUACUUGCCAUGGCAUGUGCAGAAGAUGGGGUAUCUUUGGAUACCAUUGUGGACAUCCUCAGGUGUAUUUGGCACUGUCCCGAAGAUCAUGCAAUCAAAAAACUCAGACAACACCCAAAAGUUCUAAAGGAACCCUUUGGAUUCGAGUAUCUAAAAGAUGACAAAGUGUGUGUUUGUCAUCACAUCUUGGAGAGACUACAGCACAAUGGUCACAUCUUCCACGUCAAUAAAUUGUGUGACUUAAUUCUGGCUGGAUCCUGUCCCCAUGUCAGUGAAAACUCUCCAGUGGAAUGUAUCAGCAGGGCGGGGACUUACUUCAUCACGGCUGCAGCGGCCCUGGGUAAAGAGGAUGUUGUCCGAUAUCUUAUGAUCAAGGGCAGCAGUCUUGAUGCUAAAACUCAGGUCCUAAAGCUGGCUCCCAUACAUCUUGCUCUGAUGAAGAAUGAUUUGAACAUGUUAUAUUUCCUGUUAGCCCGAGAGGUGGAGGUUAAUGUUUAUUGUGAGUUUUCUGAGGGUCGUUUUUCACCAUUGAUGUUGGCUGCUCGUGAUGGAACAGAAGAAACUGUUAAUCUUCUUCUUGAUGUCCCAGACAUCCGAUUGGAUUUUCUAAAUCAGAGUGAGACUGGAGCUUUAACUUGUGCAUUACAAAACAAAAAUUCAAACAUUCUGGACAUCCUGAUCAGAGCUGGAGUCCAGGCCUCUAAAACCACUUUAGAAAAAGCAGUUCAGAUGAACAAUGCAAGUACCCUGGAGAAGAUUUUGAAGACAAAACCUCUGACAUAUUUUGAGGACGUUUGGCGGGUUCAGGCUAUUCACCAGGCAGUCAAGCAGGGUAGCAGUAAGUUGCUGAAGGUCUUAUUUGACAAGGGUUUCUCGCUGAGUCUGUCCUCUGCUGUGGAUCGUGCUGCAGUAGUGGAUACAAUGACUCGACACUACAGCCCACUUCACGUCGCAACCCUAAACAAUGAUGCAGAAAUGGUGGGUGUACUGAUCGACGGAGGAGUCAGCAUAGAUUCACACAAAAUACAGGAUUACACAGCCUACGACCUAGCAAUAGCUAUGGGAUUUGACAAAGUGAAAUCUGUGAUAGAAGCCAAGGCAGGCCAGCCGUUACACUCGUGUGUAAGAUACCAAUACGGACCCUACAAUGCUCUAUUUUACCUCAAAGGAAUUGACCGCCCAGGGAUGAUUCGACAGCUUGCUGCCAAGGGCUACGACCUAGAUGAGACUUACCAGGGCCAUACCAAACCUAUAUAUUUUGCGAUUCGUAGUGGAGACCAUGUGUCACUGAAAACACUGAUACAACUCGGGGCCAACCCUGAUCCGCAACUGCGUAAAAUUUCGCCAGGAGUUUUGGACUCUCCGUUAGCAAGUGCAGUACGAUUAGGAAAUGUAGAAGCAGUGAAAAUCCUAUUAAGUGAAAAUGUAAGGAUAAGUGACCAAUCAUUGUUCUGCUGCAAGGAUGCCAGCAUAUUCAGACUUUUAGUUGACGCUGGUGCAGAUAUCAGGAAACAUACAAAACACUGGCAGAGACUUUAUGAGCUGGCACGUCUGUGGAAAGUCCCGUCCAUUCAGAGAUUUCUGGACCAGGACUUCGAUGAGCCACAAAGCUUGUCCCUUCUGUGUAGAGAUACAAUACGAUAUCAUUUCCAUGGGAAGGCACUCAACUCGUUCCUCGAUCACCAACAUCUCCCUGGCAGCAUCAGAAGGAUGCUUACCCUGGAGGACCUUCUCAGCACAUUUUCACCAUACUACUAAAUAGUGCUGUAUUAUCUAAGGGAAAUUCUGCCAGUUUUGUCAGUUACGAGUGACUGAAAAAAAUCAACACAAAGCUAUGGUGAUGUAGGAAUGAUUUAAGGCAUUUUGUUCAUUAGAUACAUGAGAUUCUGUUUUAAUAAUAAUCAGGUUGGUGCUGUUAUUUUUAUGUUGUUAUAAAAACUGCCUAAAAGUAACUGAUACUGAUUUUUUUAGAUCAAAAUAAUGCUGGGCAUUAAAACCAAGUAAACCAUGUUAUUGACUGCUCAAAAAGUCAUUGUAUUACAGAUUUGAUUUUGUUCCUGUACUACAAGUUUUAGUUGUCUGGAUAUGUAACAACCCUGGUAUUAGCCAGUACAAUUUGUAUGCUGACACGUCUGUCUUACCAGAACAUUAAUGAUUCAAUAUGGCCUGUAAGUAGCAGAUCUGGAUCAAGACGUAAACUGAACUAGGAUUAAUUUGAUUCUUACAAAUACAUGUGUAUUCAAUUGGGCACGUAAUUAAUAGCAUGUAUAUUAGCUGCUGAAUAUUUAUUUGUGGGUAACAUUUAUAGGUUAUAUACUCUCAAGUCAGGUUUAGUUGUACAAUCAAUAUUUUUUCAUUCACACAAGAAAACCAUAUGGGCUGUCUAAAGAUUUUCACAACAUGACAGGUUGUUAGUUUUUGUAGUUAAGCAGAUUUUUUGUCUUCUUGUUUUUGUUGAUAAAUUUGACCUAACAACUGUGAUAACAUGUAUUAUUAGAUUUGAGGAACGAAAAAGCAUAUUUAAGGAUGCAUGCUAUCAGACACAGAAGAUAGUUCUGUUAGAAUUAUCUCCCUUUAUUUGUGUAAGAUUAGCAUUAUAUGCAAUUAUUCAGCAUCACCUUGACCAUCAUAGUUGUAUAGUAAUACUACUGGCUGUAAAUUACAUCAAAGGAUUGUGCUUUUUAAUCAAAUGAUGAUUACAUAGUUAUGGCACUCUCAUUGUGUUUUAUUGUCUGUUUGUAAAACUGGUAGGCUUUUCAUAAAUAGGCCAAUUAUAUAAGUAGCAAUUUGUGUUUAAAAAAGAUUAUAGAAUUCUUCUAUCAGAAUUUAUGAUAUACUCAAAAAUCAAUUAACAUUAAUUUUUGAAAAAUAUUCCCCAGGAAACAUCUGUACACCUGGAAGUGUGUUAAAGAUCCAAAUUACCAUUUUGAUUCAUGAAAGACAUUUACAGAUUGCUCAGUAUGAAACUCUUUGUUAAAAGGAGGUACAAUUUACAGAAGGGAAGCAUAUUUCCUUAGGUUAGUAAACUUUGGCUCAACGUGGAAUAGUGAAGGGAAAUUUAGUCUUACCAUGACAACAAUAUUUAACCAAGUAAAACAGUAUUUAUCAUGUAUUUUAUUUAUUAAUUGUUGGUUGCCUUGCCUUGUUUUAAGUUGUUCUUUGGAGUAUGUGUACACUUUUUUUGUAGAGUACACGUUCACCAUAGCUAAGGCAUAAUGUUUUGUUUAUUUUGUUUAAAGAAACAUGACAUUUUGAUUUUUUAUUCCAUGACGACUGGUACGCAAUGAAUGUAUAGUUCUUGUUCAAGGCUCAAAGAGUUUAUAAUUGAUAUUUAGUAAUAUAUAAUCAUAUCAGCUCAAAUGUUUAAAUUUCAAUGUAAUAUUUUAAAGAGUUUUUUUAUACAAACAAGCUGAACUUUUAGCUACAUAUUCCUGGCUACAAAGAAAACACCGCUCCAGAAUAUACAUAUAGUUUGACAUUUAAUUUGUUUUACCCUCAAGUUCACAUAUAGGUCAACAUUUAAUAUGGUAUGUGUACACUCUAAGUGCCUUUAACAAUAUGCUCAUGGCUGAAAAGUUAAAACCAAUAAGAAACAUCAUGUAAGAAAAAUGAAUCAUCUUAAUGAUUUCAAGAUGAAUGUAUUGUUUUGAUAGCCUCAGGUGAAAAAACUUCCUUGAUUCCACAAUAGGCAUCCAAGUAUAUGGAAAAAUGUAAUGACAAUCAGGAAAGUGCUAACGUUGAAAAAGCCAUGAUAAAAAGCAAUCUAUUUUCAUUAGUGCUUUAACUUGUUAGUUCUAGUAUGAAUGGGUUGUUAUUAAUGUGUUAAAUUUAUUGAAUCUCUAUAAUGUAAUUUUUAUAACAAAAUGCAUCACUGAUGUGGCCUUCUUGAUGUCUGUUUUGCUUAACACCAUUCUCAGGUACACAAGUUAACAAUAGUGUAUUGUUUUAUACAUACCUUUAUAAUCAGGUGGUUUUUUUUGUGAUAAACAAAAAAUGGAAUGAUGUUUAACAUGAUAAUGGUGAUUGAUUUUCCCACUUUUCUGUAUCAAUGCACCUAUAUCAAAGUUUAAAAAAAACACCUUUAUGUGAAAUUGUGAAUUGUGAAUUGCUUUCACUUUGCUAGAAGGUAUGGAAUGCUACAAAUGCAUAAUACAUGUUACAUGUGUUGGUGCAAUCAAUUGUUUUGUUUUGUUGGUAAUUGACGAUUGUUUUUUAAGGAAUAAUGAUGUCUUGCCUUGCAUGAUUUAUCAAUUUAUAUUUUGAAACUGUCUCACAGAUAUUUUGCACAUGAUUUUUCGGUGUCAAAUAAAAAGUUGUUUUCAUUAUUAGCAAUUAAUUUUUGUGUCCAUUUGAUUUCUGAAUCUUCCAAAUAGAAUCUUUUAUAUAGAGGAUACAUUAACCAUUAUUAACUCUGACCAGGCAAUGAAACAGAUCUUCAGCCUGCAUUUUGAAAUAAAGAUUGGAGCCUGUUCCCUGAUAUGGAGUAACUUAGAGAAAAAUGAUAUCUCUUAAUAGACAGGUUGUUAUUUUAUAGAAAAAUCACUAUUUCAGAAAUUUAAUAUAGGCAGGAGAUCUUUGUAGAAAUAAAAAGAAAGGGGUUCCUUAUUUACAGGUAGGCAAUAUAAAAUAUUAGACAGAUGGUCCUUAUUGACAGGUGAUAGAUGGUCAUAAUUGACAGGUGACAGACAGUCCAUAUUGACAAUCAAUCAAUCGAGAGAUAGGCUGUACAUACUUCGUAUACUUCUCUCCGAGCUCGAAAUAGCCUUGAAAAAACAGAAUUCUAAUACAAUAAGAACGAAUUUAAACAGAAGCAUAAUACAUGUACUCUAUUUUAUUACAUUUCACAUUUGAUUCAAAUUAUAUUUCCCAUCCAAGUCUAAUAAAAUAUGUCGAUGACAUACUGUAUUGGUACAUACUAAAUGUCCAACCCAAGUACAAUAAAAAGUGUUAUAUGGUGACAUGCUGCAUAGUGUGUUUUUUCACUUGUAGUAUAUUUCAUGAUUUUGACAAUUAUAUGAGUCUGACAGCAAACUCAACAUGAUGAACAUUUUUAGUCGAGUGACACUACCUUAUAAUCUCAAAAGUGCCCAUUCAAUACUUGUGAAAGGAAGUCUUUUCCACAUAGAGUAAAAUGUCUCCAAAUGUUAUUUAACCCUUUCACCCCUAAGUAACUUAAGGAGACUA